UAAGUACUCAAACUUCUAUCCAUCUACUGUAAUGUGAACCUGUUCAUGUGCUGGUGAAAUAAGCCUCAAAUUGUCAAUUCUUCUCUUGCUUUUUGCUGUCUCGCACUUGACAAUGACUUCAAGUUGUUUGUAGUUAAUUCCAGGGCAGAUGAAUGCAUUGCUUGCGUGGAUGGAGAAUAUGCAUACCAUGCAUAAUAUGUAUGUAAUUCUCAUGUAGGACAAGAGAGGAGACAUUGCUCUGCUGGGGGAGCUUGUGCUCAGAAACUGGAGAGGUGUUAUCACAAGACAUGACAGAUGAUGGCAAGAUUUAGUUUCAUGAUUUUCCUUUUCAUUUUAAUUGUUUCUGUUUUAUGGGCCUGUUUUUUGUGACAGGGUUAGCCCUAACGAAAGCGUUUGUUUUCAGGGGAAACCUAGCAGCUACAGUAGAAGCUUGAUGGGCUAUGUUGGGAGAGAAUUGGAAGUGUUUGGUGCAUCUUGCUGCAUGCAUCUAGUACAGUGAGUUUACAGUGAUGUUGGACAGUUAAUACACGGAAAAAUGCAGUGGAUAUCAGACACAAGAUCAUUCCCACGUCCAGCUGACAGCUUAGUGCCAGAAAUGCAGUGCUACUCAAUAGACUUUGGUGGACUUCUGCAGGCGCUGCUAAACCUGAUGGAGAUGGAGUGCACAGCAGACCGGUGUUGGCAUAGCUAAGUUCUAAGCAAGGAAAUGGACUUCUUGGAAACAGUGCUGAGGUAGUGAUGUCCGGUUUUCCCAGUUCUAACAGCUCCCAAGGUUUGCAGAUGCCUUCUGUAUUGGAUAUCGGGGUUGAACGUGCCUGUGCUACUAGGUUUUCUGUAACGGCUUGUACUUGGAGAAUCUCUUUCAAAAUCGGUGAGCAGGGUGCUCUUGUGCUGGACUAUGAGGAGUAACUUUCUACGAGUUUUGGAACUGUGCUGAUAUGGCACUUGGCAAGCUUUACCUGGGAGCAUCUCGUGCAGAGAACAUGAAGAGCAUAUCAGAGGUUAGAGGAUAAAGAAAAGCAGAAAUAUUUGCUCUUCUCCAGAUGCCUGUGACUCACAUGCUGAUGAGUGCCUGUUCUGCUUUAGCCUCCAAUGCAUCUUUUGAGGCCUGAUGUUCCAGGGAGGUCCUUGUGCUGCAUAUAUUUGAGAUCAAAGCCAGGACCUAUCAAAUGUGGAGGGGAAAAAAAGGAAAAGGAUGAGAAAGCAAGACUUGACUACAUGCAAUAGCAGAUAUGGCUGGAUGUAGAAGCAGAUCUGCAGAAAGAUAAAAAAUCUUCUGUGAAUAACUUCAGAGAGUUGCACGUCAACCUGCUCUGCAACACAAAUCACUACACUUCAUGGAGGAUGGGACAGGAGAAUAGCCAAAGGAAGUCGAUGAGGAUGGCUGUACUGGUGAGGAACUAAGGAGCUGACAUUACUUCAUCUGAAGAGAAAAGAAGACAAAGGUUAUUCAAAUCCACACUUAAUCUAACACUGGAAGCCGUUCCAGCAGCAGCAGCACCUUGAGGAGGACAUCGGGAGGAGUGCUCAAACAUAAGAUUGAAGUCUGCCAAACAUGAUGUCCACCAAAUUUUUACUGCUAAAAAGUUGAGGUCACCCAAUGAGAAAUACAGAGACAGUAAGAUGAUCAAAAUACCUCAGGAGAAGAAUGAAUGAACAAUUUGAAAAAAAAAAAAAAAAGGGAGAAAAGCACUGUGCACUCCAACAACAGCAUCUUAAGUGCAAAACAUCAUUGUACAGAACUUUAUUACGAAGUGAUAAAUCAGCACGCUGAGGCUUCAUUAACUUCAGUGGAACCAGACUGAUUUAUGCCAGCUGAGUCAAUGGCUGCGUUUAUAUGUCUGCAUACGUCAAAAUUAAUCAUGUUUGGAAAAAUAGAAGAUUCUAGGAAUAUAUCCCAGAGGAGAAGAUAUAUAUACUUAUUUAUAAAUUCUACUAAUAAGGUAAUAUACACAGGACUGAAAUGGGGAGAGACCAAACAUGAAACGUGGGUAUAUAGGCUCCUUCAUUACAAAACAUAGGAAACUUGUCUUUGGUGGAGAGAAGAUUGGAAAAAACAUUUCACUUUCUUCUGUGUUUUUUCUUCUUAGGUGAUACUUAGCAGGCCUUUCUACAGGACUCUGAAUGACACAGCUGUCCUGAGGUGAACUUCUGCCCUCCUGCAUGGCAAGAAACAGAUAUGCACGUCCUCUGUCAGCACUCUCCAUCUCCAGCAUUCAGACUCCUGCAACCUUCCCACUGGUCCACAUCCUCACGCAGUCUUCCCAGUAAGGGGAAGAGAGCUGUAGAGAAUAGAAUAACCAUGGUUACUCCUACAUCGUCAGAAUUGGAAAGUAAUGUUAUCCAUGGGCUGAAGGAAGCUCAACCCUGCAGUCCAUUCUUCAAGCUCCUUCCCUACAAAUGCAGUGGGAGAGAUGUCAUUUGGGUGCCAAUGAGUUGUGUGCAUCAUAAAGAAUCACAGAAUAUCCCAAGCUGGAAGGGACCCAGAAGAAUCACUGAGUCCAACUCUGGCUCCACACAGGACCACCCAAACCCAAUGUCUCAGAGCAGUGCCCAAACGCGCCCUGAGCUCCAGGAGCCUGUUCCAUGCCCACUGCCCUCUGGUGCAGAGCCGUUACCCCAAACCAACCUGACCCUCCGCUGAGGCGGCUCCAUGCCAUUCUCUCAGGUCCUGUCACUGUUACCGGAGAGCAGAGCUCAGUGCUGCCCCUCUGCUCGCAGUGAGGAGCUGUGGGAUGCCAUGAGAGAGCUCUUCUCUGGGCUGAACAAACCAAGGGACCUCAGCUGCUCCCCUCCACCCCUUGCCCUCCUCAGCAGCACGAGUUAUGAAAAGGAGGCAUGGAUUACAUCUUACAGGUAAGAUGAAAAGUAAAGUAUGUAUGAGUACAAUUCCAGAGUCUGUGACUAUUAGGAUAAGAAACCAAAUAAAAAAGAAUCUACAUCUCCAGACUCUAUUCCUGGAUUAACUGUAGAUGCAAUUUACAGGAGUUCUUCCAAUCAUCCCUCACUUUGUCUUGCUUCCACUUAAGUUCAUUGUCCUAAAAGAUCUGGCUUGUUAGGAAACAAAAACUAUGUUGUUUCAACUGCUAUGUGAUGAGUCACAAUGAGUGGUAGAGAUCUUUAGAAAUGAUCGGAAUCCUUAAUUCCAACUGAGCUCAUGGCUGCUAUGGAAAAGCAGACCCUGUAUGCGCUUAGAAGAGAAAGUAAAAUACUCUCUUAAAAGAGAAAGUACAGUCUUUUCCUACAUUGAGGAACUUGCUUUUUCUCAAGCGUUGGCGUACAUUUGAUGAUUCAGGUCAAUGCAACCUUUCCUACAUCUUUCCUACUUAAAAGAAGCCCUUUAGAACAGCAGGCUUUUUUUUUUUCUUCCUGAAAAAGUAACUAUCUUUGUUCCGCACAUGUUUCCACAGCCAACACUGCUGCACCAGACCUGAUAGAAAAUUGUUCAUAGUUCAGCGAGAAGCCGUUUAAAAGUCAGUCCUGGCUCCCCAGAUGCUAUAAACAUCCAUUUUGAUCAGUUAGAAAACCUGGUUGCUUUUAGUAAAAGCACAAGCAGGGAUGAUUUUGUUUUGAUUGUUUAACGCUGUUGAUGUUGCAAAUAGGUAUGUCAGCAUUUGAAAGAUGGUCCUAAGGCACUCGAUUUUUUAAUAGCAAGCAGAAUUCUCAUUAACAGGCAAUUUUAAAAAGCAAUAACAUUCAUUUUUUGGACUAUUAAGCAUAUAGAGUGUUUAUAUUUCCAGCAAAGAAUGAACUAAUGGAAAAUAAAAUUCUGUCAUGCACUAGUGCCACAACAUUGCAACAUAAUGUAUGUGAGGCUGAUUACAUUUCAGCCUUUCAGCGGGAUUAUACAUGAUCAAAGCUUCUGGAGUGAGAACUAUGUAACUUAAAUGAUUGAAAACAAUUUUAAUGUUUAAGUUAGUCUUCUCUCUUCUUUGAAAUAAAAGCUCGCCUCUUGUUAAUGAUGUGUUAAACUAAGAAACAACUGUCAGUGUAUGUACUUUCCUAAUGACGGGCAGAUACGUACAGUGUCAUAUCCGUUUGAUGUACAGUCUGUGCAGGUGCAUGGUACUGCUAGAGUUUACCCUAUCUGCCUAAAAAUACCUGCCCUUUCUGCUGCUUAAGUAGCAGAACAGUGCCAGUUCAAAGAAUGGCAAAAUGAGAUUCUUCCAUGUGUAUUGCCAUGCAGGCGUGACAAAACUACCCAAGCCCCUUUAGAAGGCUGCACUACCAGCAAAAGUGGGGAUCCACUCUUCUGCAGGGACUUGACCUUCCAUCCUCACCUUCCACUAACCUGUAAGCUCUCUGGAAGUGUGAUGAUUCGCUUCGGAAGGCCGAGGCUGUGACAUGGCUGCCCAUCAUGGCCAGCAUGUCUUGGACCGUCAGGCACGCUUCCCAUGGGACUCCGUCAGUUGUUAGCAUAAUGAUUUUAUGGAACUGAAGUUUCUUCUGAAUUUUUAUGUCCAUUGGCACUAUGCCAACGUUAAGCAAAAUUCUGGACUUUCAGAAAAAGUAGCAAUGAGAGCUAAUGCUGAACCUUCUGUUUGUUAAUCC
ensembl:lncRNA